UCUGCAAAUUUGAACUUUCUUUCUUUUCCUCCCAACUACGCCAUGUGCAUCAGCAUUCAGGACCAUUUUGCAAGAAAGUUGAAGCAAAAGAAAAUCCGUUCUGUUAUAAUGAAAUAUCCCAGAAAACUAAAACGAGUGUUGUAAACAUAACAUUCUACAAAAGUGAAAACGUGAUACUGAAAAUAAAGGAGUGCAACUUGGUGUAGAGGGUAAUGAAGUUUUUUUUUUUUUAAAAAUGAGGGUAAUGAAGUUUUGAGAGGGGGAAACUGGUUUGUACAAAAAAAAUUAAGAGAGAGAGCGUCAGCAAAAAAAAAUUCCUAAAAAAGAAAAACCCACAGACAGAUUGAGAAAGAAGAUGCCCAAAACAGAAAUUUGUGAUAGAGAGGGAGAAACUGGUUUGCUGGAAAUACCCAAAAAAAAAAAAUCGAGAUAGAGAUAGAGACAACAGUAAAAAGCCCUAAAAAAGACCCACAGAGCGAUAUUGAGAAAGUGAGAAAGAAGAUGCCCAAAGAAAAAAUUCGUGAUAGAGAGAAAGGGAGAAACUGGUUUGCUAGAAAUGCCCAAAGAAAAAUGGAGAUAGAGAGAGAGUAGUGAAAAAAAUCCUAAACAAGACCCACAGAGAGAUGGAGAAAGUGAGAAAGAAGAUGCCCAAAGCAAAAAUUCAUGAUAGAAAGAGAGAGAGGGAGAAAUUGGUUUGCUGGAAAUACCCAAAAAAAAUGGAGAUAGAGACAAAGCUGUAAAAAAACCCUAAAAAAACCGACAGAGAUGGAAAAACUGAGGAAGAUGCCAAAAAAAUAAAAAUAAAAUCGUGAUAGUGAUAGAGAGGGAGAGAUUGGUUUGCUGGAAAUACCCAAAAAAACAUGGAGAUGGAGACAGAGAGACCACAUAGAGAUGAAGAAACUGACGAAGAAGAUGCCCCAAAAAAAUCGUGAGAUGAAGAAACUGACGAAGAAGAUGCCCCAAAAAAAUCGUGAUAGAGAGAGAGACUGGUUUGCUGGAAAUAUCCCAAAAAAAAAAAAAAAGAGAGAUAGAGAGCGUACCUGGUUUGAGUUUGAACAUGAGCUUGAGCGAGAGCAGCACAAAUGGGCCGGGCCGACUUAGAGAGACAGAAGGAGAAAAAUAUCAACGAAACUUUGAGACCACUGCGGCGCUUGGUU
rnacentral:lncRNA from 1 species